UAACAGGAUAAUUAAAUAAGGUGGUCAGGUAUGUUCAGAAGGGCAGAUUUGGACAAGAAAUUUAUAAUUUAGUGAUGACACAUUGUUAUAACGGGUUUAUAUCUUGUGCUAAAUCUAUGUAUGUUAAAGUGCUAAAAGGGGAACAUAACUGUGUGGCUUUUAACAAGAUUUUUUGUGUGUAUUUAGCAGGUGAAAUUAUGUCAGUUGACCUUGGACUCUCAGGACGCUGUGGAAUCUGAGGCCAACCACUGAGAUAUGAUGUGGGGAAGAAUGAACAGAGGGAGUGAUUUUAAGUCUGAUUUCAGACUAUCAAGCCUUCAAGAUUGAAUUAACAGCGCUGAAAAGCGCCAAGAAAACUACUGUUUUGGACGCUUGGCCUCAAACUAGAUGAAGACAGAUGAACUGCUCCAUCUACAAAGAGGAAUUUCUGAGCACCUGAAUAGAGAAACUCUAAAGCCCCCAAACAGGACCUUCAUGAAAAUCAUAACACGUUUGACCUCUUUUCUAGUGACGGCACUGCUAGUGAGAGACGUACAGUUUUUGAUAUUGUCAUUGCAGAACAAACUGACAUUGAUACAAGAUAUCAGAUAUCACUGAUGCAAAUAUGAUUGAUAUGGAACCACUGAUAUCAGUAACUACUGGAGGGACUACUAUAAAAAAAAUAACUGAUUCAACCAACAGAUUCUGUCUGCCAUGAUUCUGUUUAAGACAUGUCCCACCUUAACACUGUAUAAGAAAUGGUUCUCACAUUUGUUGAAAUAUGGUCCUUAAAAGACACCAAAAUACAACAGAUGCUGGCAUCAUCUCAGUGGAAAAGAAGCAUCCGACUGGUGUGCUAGGGUUCAGAAGUUCAGAAACAUGAUGUAAAAUCUAGUACCAGAGACAACCUACUAACCCUCAAUGAUUAUUAGGUGGGUUUGGCAGUUUUCUCAAUCCACUCCACAAAUGUUCUACAGACUUUAAAAUGAUUUAUAAUGUCCUUCUGCUUUCUGUUUAUUUAUUACUCACAGAUAAAAUGUAAUCCUGUCAUUAUAAGGGCUGAAUGUUCUUCGAUGUUCUUAUAUAUUUUUCGGGAUAUAAAGUAUAUAAUGAAUCAGCUGACUACAUCACAGUUUUUAAAUACUCACUCUAUGAUUCUCUCCUUUGGAUUAAACGGACCGAGGGAGUCGAGGCCAAGUUUACU